GAUGAACGCUGACAGAAUGCUUAACACAUGCAAGUCGAUGGGGAAGUGGUGCUUGCACCAUGGUAACCAUGGCGGACGGGUGAGUAACGCGUAAGGAACUUGCCUGCGGGACCGGGAUAACAGCAGGAAACUGCUGACAAGACCGGAUAAGGUCAUUAAGCCGCAUAGCUUAGUGAUGAAAGGAGACGCCUGCGGAGAGCCUUGCGUCCUAUUAGCUAGUUGGAGGGGUAACGGCCCACCAAGGCGAAGAUAGGUAGCCGGCCUGAGAGGGUGGACGGCCACAAGGGGACCGAGAUACGGCCCUUACUCCUACGGGAGGCAGCAGUGGGGAAUAUUGGACAAUGGGGGCAACCCUGAUCCAGCAAUUCUGUGUGCACGAAGACGGUUUUCGGAUUGUAAAGUGCUUUCAGCAGGGAAGAAGUAAGUGACGGUACCUGCAGAAGAAGCGACGGCUAAAUACGUGCCAGCAGCCGCGGUAAUACGUAUGUCGCGAGCGUUAUCCGGAAUUAUUGGGCAUAAAGGGCAUCUAGGCGGCCUUUCAAGUCAGGGGUGAAAACCUGCGGCUCAACCGCAGGCCUGCCUUUGAAACUGAUAGGCUGGAGUACCGGAGAGGUGGACGGAACUGCACGAGUAGAGGUGAAAUUCGUAGAUAUGUGCAGGAAUGCCGAUGAUGAAGAUAGUUCACUGGACGGUAACUGACGCUGAGGUGCGAAAGCCGGGGGAGCGAACAGG
rnacentral:rRNA from 1 species